rnacentral:lncRNA from 1 species
ACAAUUUGACUUUUGAUUUAUUAUAUAGUAUUUUUUUUUGGUAACACAAACAUAUUUCAUUCAUAAUUUAGCCAGAUACAAAGAUAAAAGCAACAUCAAAGACUGGAUGUGCGAUCCUAAUGAAAACGUUCAAUACAAGGCAGUAAAGAGAUAGAGACACAAGCUUAGAUAAACUUGAUAACAAGUUGAAAGAGUGAUCAAAGGUGCCACGUACGAAGAAACCUCUAGAGAGAUUACACCGUCCUUUAAAUUCUUCAACGAAAAUAGUCACCGUAUAUCGUGACGUCGAGCGUUCUACAACCUCGAUUCUCACUGUGAUGGUUCAAUGAGAGAUCCUUUUCCACCUUCCUCCGCUUUGCAGGAGUGACAACUUCCAUCAAAAUCUUCCUUCAUGAGAAGGACCCCUGUCUUGGCUGCAUAGCCAAUGAUCAUUUUCGAUUUUCUUACUGCUUGAUACCCAAGCGAACCAUCACACAAGGUAUCAAGCGGUAAGGAAAUCGACAAUGAUCAUUGGCUAUGCAGCCAAGACAGGGGUCCUGCUCAUGAAGGAAGACUUUGAUGGAAGUUGUCACUCCUGCAAAGCGGAAGAAGGUGGAAAAGAAUCUCUCAUGGCCCUUGCAUGAGGAAGUUUGGCUAGCCUUUCUAAGAGUGGAAAAAGCUAAAGGACUACAAUCUUCGAGCUGCGAUAGAUUCCAACAUAAUAAUAAUAAUAUUGAUGUGGUACUUGCUGUUGUUAUACAAUUUAAUUUAUAUUCAGUUUAUGAUGAGUUGUGCCGACGAUGAUGUAACCGAAAAACGUAAGCUACUCGAUGUUUACGUUGGUGCAAGUCGACAUAUUGCCACUCACUACAUCUUUCAUCUUUCUCCAAAGCCAAGCCCUAAAGUGGACUUUAUUUUAUCUUCCUUUUUUUCUGCUUUCGACCAUGAUUAUCGCAUAAGCGAUCCUUAGGGUUUUUUUUUUUCUUAAAAAAAAAUAAAAAAUAAAAAAUAAGCCAAUCGCGGGUCGGCACGUGUCGGUGGACCCCGUAAACAGUGUUAAAACCCCCCAAUUACCGAUCCUUAUUUGGUGAUUUAUAGAAGUGGUUUUUAAAAUUUUUAUGGGACUCACACGUCAUUGGAAUCCACAUUUUGUCAAAAAAACUCUUUAAGGACCUUGGGAUGCUGAUGUUCUUACUUGUAAUAAAAAUGACGCGAACUUGUUAGUGUCCCCCUACAUGGACAUAGGACUCUAAUACAUAAUAGAUUAUUCAUUUUAUCACUAUAUACAUAUAUAUACAUUUCUCAUUUUCUAAUAAUUGAAUAGAUGGAUAAUCAAAAUGGUUUACUAUAUAGGCCAAUAUUAGUUAGUGCCUAUAAUGUUCUGUUGUACGUACCUACACAAACUCCUCUUUUUGCAAUUUGCUUGUCUCAAUCUCUUUUCAAGUAAAAGGAGUAAUUAAGAAACAAAUUCCUAAAAAGAGAGAGAGAAAAAGUAGGUUGUUAGUUUCUACAUGCAAGGUAUUACUAUAAUGUCAUAUUCAUAAUAUUGAAUAUAUCCCAUACAAAAAUAAAGUCUAGAUAAAAAGUAGUUGAUGAGUUACAUGAUAUUUUCCUCUUGAGUUGGAAGAAACGUAUAUGGAAUGAAUUCUACCAAAACAGGGCAAAAAAAUAAAAAUAAAAAUAUGUUCUUGAAAGAUAGUUCCUUUUUAGAUUAGACACAAAAUAAAUAAAAAUGUCUUGUACUCUUAUGCAUUUAGGCGUGUGCACUGCACCCACCCAAAUGUAUGGCCUAAAGCUCUAUAAAUAUAUUUCUACACACAAAGCAUAACCGUAGUUCUCUUUCACACACACAAAACAUAACCUUACUUAUUUUUCUCUCCCUUAAAAAAACGUUCACAAAAUCACAAGCUUAAAUAUUCUCGCUUCAUGGCUGGAGGAGGUAAAAGAAGAGGACUUAGCAAAUCUUGUGCCCUUCUCAUAGUGAUUGCCGGGAUAGAGAGAUAUGCAUUUAAAGGAGUUGCAUCAAACUUAGUGACUUAUUUAACUGAUGUGGUAAAGAUGAGCAAUUCAAGAGCAGCCACGACUGUUAACACUUGGAGUGGCUUCACUUUCAUGUUGCCUCUCUUCUCUGCUCCUUUCGCCGAUUCUUACGGGGACAGAUUCUUCACCAUCCUCGCUUCUUCUUCUCUAUACUUUGUUGUAAGUAUUACUAAACCAACCUUCAGAAAGAGUCGAUUCAAAUUUUUUCGCUUAACUAUAUCUUCCAUAUUGAAAUAUAUAUGUCUCAUAUGAUCUCUUAUCAAGUGGUCCCUUUCCUUUUUCAUAACAUCUUCUCCUUUUUACCUUUACGUUUAUUUUUGUAAAUCCAUAAAUUUUCUACGAAUUAGUUUAAAGUUCUUUCUCAAUUUUUUUUUGUUUAUGAUGUGUUAUUGAUCAUGUGACCCUCUUCUUUGCGUAUUUUUAUUAGGUCUAUUUGCUUGACAACUGGAACUUUUAGGAAUUGUUACGAAACGUUUCUUAAGAUCUUUGUACUUUGUUUAUGUGGUUUGGUACUAAGCAUGUGAACAUUUCGAUGGAUUUUCUGAGAAAAUUAUUUUCUCUAACUAUUUCCUAAUCAAUCUUUCUUUUUAGAGUAUGGAACGUACGUUACCAAUUAAGCACAUACUGUUGGUAAAGUUUGGUUCCAUAAUGUGAUUUUUCUGGAUCUGAUCCAAAAAAGUUAAGCCUAGUGUACAAUCAACUAAGAUAAUGGAACUCGUAUCAUUCCUCACUAAUCAUGCAUUAUAUUCCAUUACUAGAUCUUACACCACAGAAUAUUUAGUAUUAGUAAAAAGGAAAUAAACCCACUAUGUAAGUUUUAAGUUUUACCCUAAUUUUUCUUCAUAGGAAAAAUAGUGUUAUAAAAUCUGAACUUAGAUAGGAAAUUGGACAGCAUUUUAUUGGAAACUUAAUUAAAAUCAUUUAUCUUGUAUAUUACUAAGUUCUUAUUAAAAGUUUAAAUAUUUCUGACUACUAUUAUUUUAAUUCAUUUUGGAGAUUCUAUUAUUUUGCUAAUUAUGUAAGUUGCUAAUGUUUGGCAUUUUGUUGGGUAUAUGUAAAUAGGGACUAGUGGGAUUGACAUUGACGGCAUUUGCCGGGUCACGUUCCACUACUACAACCAUAUCUAUUUUCUUCCUGUACACUUCACUUAGCCUCGUCGCUCUCGGCCUAGGCGUCUUAAACCCAUCUCUUCAAGCAUUUGGUGCUGACCAGCUUGACCACGACCUUGGCCAUGACCAUGAACAAGACCAAGAGCCAUCCUCAGAGAACAAAGAAGUCAAAUCGGACCGCAAGUCUCAGUUUUUCCAAUGGUGGUACUUUGGUGUCUGCGCCGGUAGUCUUCUAGGAGUCACCGUCAUGGCUUAUAUCCAAGACACAUUUGGUUGGGUUCUCGGUUUUGCAAUCCCAACCGGUUCCAUGUUACUAUUGAUCUUCUUGUUCCUAUGCGGCUGCGGAGUUUAUGUCUAUGCUGAUCAGGGUUCACACCUAAAAUCUAGACCAUUUCAAAGGAUCUUUGAUACGAUCAAAGGAGUAGUGACGAGAAGAAGUAAGAUCACUCUUGAGAACAACCACGAUUUAAAUGCCAUGGAGCUAGAGUGAGUACUCAUCAUUAUUCAAUCCAUAAUAGACACAAAAUUUUGAUGUGCUUUUAGUUGCCGGUUUGGUUUAGUUUUUCGGUUUAUGAAAUAUUGAAGCUGAAUGGAAACCAAAUAAUCGGUGAGUCUGAUUUUUGGUUUCAGUUUAGAACCGAUUUUCUAGUAAAUUAAGUUUCAGUUUCAGGAUUGUUGGCAUAAGACAGUAUGUAAAUUUUAAAUGUGAUUUUUAAAAUAUUAAAUUUUUUACUAGGUUGCUUUUAUAGUACAAUUGGAUUCUUGUCACGGUUUGUUGGAAUACAUAUAUUAUUCCGUUUAUUUUGUUUCCGGUUUGGUUUAAAGAUCGGUUGACUCGCACUGAACACCCCUUUAAUCUUGCUCUUAUAUUAUUGUAUAUAGGCUGCAAGGGAAGCCUCUAUGUAACUGUAGCAACACUGAAGCUACUACCACUACCACUACCACUAAUACUAGUACAAAGAGCUUAGCUGGUGAUGAAAGCAGCAAAACAGGUUUCUCCAGCCUCAAAACCAUCAAGCUAUUGCUUCGGUUAUUACCCAUAUGGACGAUGCUUCUAAUGUUCGCCGUUAUAUUCGAACAACCAGCGACAUUUUUCACAAAGCAAGGUAUGGCUAUGAAGAGAAACAUCGGACCAAACUUCAAAAUCCCACCCGCAACGCUACAAAGCACAAUCACCUUGUCUAUAAUCCUUCUCAUGCCGUUAUACGACAAAGUCUUGAUCCCUAUGGCCAAGAAAAUAUCGAAAAACGAAAAGGGUAUUACCGUCAUGACAAGAAUGGGAAUCGGCAUGUUCAUAUCCAUCAUUGCCAUCGUUAUAGCCGCGUUAGUCGAAAGAAAAAGACUAAAGAUAAGCAAAGAGAUGAAGACUUCACCGAAUACUACAGAACCGUUGAGCAUAUUCUGGCUCUUACCUCAAUAUAUUCUACUAGGAAUCUCGGAUAUUUUCACGGUUGUAGGGAUGCAAGAGUUCUUCUACAGCGAGGUUCCUGUUAGAAUGAGAGCGAUGGGGUUUGCGUUGUACACGAGUGUUUUUGGUGUGGGGAGUUUCGUGAGCGCUGCGUUGAUAUCUGUGAUAGAGAGUUACACGAAGUCAAGAGGUGGGAAACAUAACUGGUUUGCAGAUGAUAUGUCGGAAGCUAGACUUGAUAACUAUGAUUGGCUUUUGGCGCUCACAAGCGCUAUUAGCUUUUUCAUGUAUAUUGUAAUUUGCAAGUAUUUUAAGAGUAGUAGUGAUGAGGAUGAGGAUAAAUGCGAUGAAACUAGUUGAUAAACUUAAAACAGCUCAAAAAUAGCUGUUUGGUAACGCUAUGCGAGUUGCAUCUAAUGAAUGUCAAGUGUUAACAAAAAAUCAUAAAUAUAUGGAGAACUAUAUUUGGUUUGACCAAAAAAAAAUAUGGAGAACUAUAUAUAUUCAUACAUAUCUUACACGUAUUAUUUAAUAUUACAUAACUGUAUAACAAAUUAAAAUAACAAAAAUCUUAAAACACUCCACACAAUUUGACUUUUGAUUUAUUAUAUAGUAUUUUUUUUUGGUAACACAAACAUAUUUCAUUCAUAAUUUAGCCAGCUACAAAGAUAAAAGCAACAUCAAAGACUGGAUGUGCGAUCCUAAUGAAAACGUUCAAUACAAGGCAGUAAAGAGAUAGAGACACAAGCUUAGAUAAACUUGAUAACAAGUUGAAAGAGUGAUCAAAGGUGCCACGUACGAAGAAACCUCUAGAGAGAUUACACCGUCCUUUAAAUUCUUCAACGAAAAUAGUCACCGUAUAUCGUGACGUCGAGCGUUCUACAACCUCGAUUCUCACUGUGAUGGUUCAAUGAGAGAUCCUUUUCCACCUUCCUCCGCUUUGCAGGAGUGACAACUUCCAUCAAAAUCUUCCUUCAUGAGAAGGACCCCUGUCUUGGCUGCAUAGCCAAUGAUCAUUUUCGAUUUUCUUACUGCUUGAUACCCAAGCGAACCAUCACACAAGGUAUCAAGCGG